rnacentral:rRNA from 1 species
GGACUUUAGUCGCGCAGUAUAGGUGGGAGGCGUUGAGAAUACUCUUGCGGGAGUAUUGGAGCUAUCAGUGAGAUACCACUCUUCUAAUGUUAGAUUUCUAACUUUGAACCAUUAUCUGGUCAAAGAACAGUUUCAGGCGGGCAGUUUGACUGGGGCGGUCGCCUCCCAAAUGGUAACGGAGGCGUACAAAGGUUUCCUCUGAACGGGUAGAAAUCGUAUCUAGAGUGUAAAGGCAUAAGGAAGCUUGACUGUGAGACCUACAAGUCGAACAGGGACGAAAGUCAGUCUUAGUGAUCUGACGGUACUGAGUGGAAAGGCCGUCACUCAACGGAUAAAAGUUACUCUAGGGAUAAC